ACAAAAGUUUUCAAAUAUAAGAACUACAAAUGUUGGAGAUGUUGCAAAUUUUUCACUAAUUGACAUGUAGAAACUAAUAUCAUUUGACUCACCGAUUAGUCCCAUGUAACAACUAAAAUAGCCUUUUAAAAAUAAACAAAUGUUUAUGUAUUUUCCAAAUCACUUGAAAUCUUGUGUGCUAGCUCAAAACAUUGCGUACUAGUUAUGUGACAAGUUUUAGUUUCAAGAAAACUUUUGGGGUAUUAAAUUAAAAUACAAAGCGAUGAAGAAAAUUACAAGACAAAAAAUAUAAAAGAAAAAUAAACAAAAGAGGAAGACCACCGUGCACUAUAGGCCUAGUGCUACAGUGGGCAGCCCAAGCCCACCACCAGCCUUUUUCUCCCUCCUCUGUAUAGUACAGAGAGGAGGCAGAGGCUUGUGCGUGGCGGCCAUCCCCGCCUCCAUGGCCAUCCUUGCCGCCGUGUCGUGCAUCCGGCGAACCCCUAGAGAUGUAUAAGAACACGCCCACGCCCCCGACGGACCCUAGCUUCCCCCUUUCUCCCCACACGCGCCGCUGCUCUCUUCCCCAUCCACACCCGACGCCACCGUCGCCGUGCCGUCGUCGUUCGCGCGCACCGGAAGCUCCCCGCGCCACCUGGGGACAUCCAGGAGGACCGCCACUCUCUCCUUCGUCCGUCCCGGGGGCCAGCUCAAGCUAGGACACCGCAUAGCCUCGCCAUCGCCUCUUCUUCCCGCCACGGUCGUCGCGCGUCCCCGCCAUCGAUCUCCACCACCGGGCCUCCCCGGCCAUCUCGAGCUCGUCUAUGACCUCCCGAUGCCGGAGCCCAGGAGCCAGACGCCACCGUCGACGACGACUCCUACUACAGUGGAGGUGCCUACAACUGCGUGCAGUCCGCUGACGACGACCAGGAGUAGUUUAGGAGGAUCCCAGGCAGGAGGCCUGCGCCUCUUUCGAUCUGUAUCCCAGUUUGUGCUAGCCUUCUUAAGGCAAUCUUGUUUAACUUAUGUCUGUACUCAGAUAUUGUUGCUUCCGCUGACUCGUCUAUGAUCGAGCACUUGUAUUCGAGCCCUUGAGGCCCUGGCUUGUAUUA